AGCAACGCGAGGGGGGAGUUUUGUCCCUCCGCGGACCCCGUUUCUCCCAGCCUCAGCCUCCCCGCCGCCGCCGCCGCCGCCGCCGCCGAGCCGGUUUCCUUUUUCCGGCGCUCCGGGUGCGAGAGACAGGACUGAAUUCGGAGAAGGUAGCUGCUCUGAUACAGAAACUGAAUUCCGACCCCCAGUUCGUACUUGCCCAGAAUGUCGGGACCACCCACGACCUGCUGGACAUCUGUCUGAAGCGGGCCACGGUGCAGCGCGCGCAGCAUGUGUUCCAGCACGCCGUGCCCCAGGAGGGCAAGCCAAUCACCAACCAGAAGAGCUCAGGGCGAUGCUGGAUCUUUUCUUGUCUGAAUGUUAUGAGGCUUCCAUUCAUGAAAAAGUUAAAUAUUGAAGAAUUUGAGUUUAGCCAAUCUUACCUGUUUUUUUGGGACAAGGUUGAACGCUGUUAUUUCUUCUUGAGUGCUUUUGUGGACACAGCCCAGAGAAAGGAGCCUGAGGAUGGGAGGCUGGUGCAGUUUUUGCUUAUGAACCCUGCAAAUGAUGGUGGCCAAUGGGAUA
rnacentral:lncRNA from 10 species